UACGGGGGGGGCAAGCGUUGUUCGGAAUUACUGGGCGUAAAGCGUGCGCAGGCGGCUUUGCAAGACAGAUGUGAAAUCCCCGGGCUUAACCUGGGAACUGCAUUUGUGACUGCAUGGCUCGAGUGCGGCAGAGGGGGAUGGAAUUCCGCGUGUAGCAGUGAAAUGCGUAGAUAUGCGGAGGAACACCGAUGGCGAAGGCAAUCCCCUGGGCCUGCACUGACGCUCAUGCACGAAGGCGUGGGGAGCAAACAGG
rnacentral:rRNA from 1 species